rnacentral:sgRNA from 2 species
AUGAGAUACCGUACGAUGCGGUUCGAGAGGACGAGAGUCCAAGUUCGAAUAAGGCCAGUCCGUUAUCACAGGGAGACCUGGGCACCGAGUCGGUGC